GUGUGUCCUGUGUUUGUCCUGUGUGUGUCCUGUGUGUGUCCUGUGUGUGUCCUGUGUGUGUGUGUGUGUGUCCUGUGUGUGUGUGUGUGUCCUGUGUGUGUGUGUUGUGUGUCCUGUGUGUGUGUGAGUGUGUGUGUGUGUCCUGUGUGUGUGUGUGAGUGUCCUGUGUGUGUGUGUGAGUGUCCUGUGUGUGUGUGUGUGUGUCCUGUGUGUGUGUGUGUGUCCUGUGUGUGUGUGUGUGUGUCCUGUGUGUGUGUGUGUGUCCUGUGUGUGUGUCCUUGUGUGUCCUGUGUGUGUGUGUGUGUCCUGUGUGUGUGUGUGUGUCCUGUGUGUGUGUGUGUGUCCUGUGUGUGUGUGUGUGUCCUGUGUGUGUGUGUGUCCUGUGUGUGUGUGUGUGUCCUGUGUGUGUGUGUGUGUGUCCUGUGUGUGUGUCCUUGUGUGUGUGUGUGUGUGUGUGUGUGUGUCCUGUGUGUGUGUGUGAGUGUCCUGUGUGUGUGUGUGUGUGUGUGUUGUCUGUGUGUGUGUGUGUGUGUCCUGUGUGUGUGUGUGUGUGUGUGUCCUGUGUGUGUGUGUGUGUGUGUGUGUGUCCUGUGUGUGUGUGUGAGUGUCCUGUGUGUGUGUGUGUGUGUCCUGUGUGUGUGUGUGUGUCCUGUGUGUGUGUGUGUCCUGUGUGUGUGUGUGUGUCCUGUGUGUGUGUGUGUGUCCUGUGUGUGUGUGUGUGUCCUGUGUGUGUGUGUGUGUGUCCUGUGUGUGUGUGUGUGUGUCCUGGUGUGUGUGUGUGUGUGUCCUGUGUGUGUGUGUGUGUCCUGUGUGUCCUGUGUGUCCUGUGUGUGUGUGUG
rnacentral:lncRNA from 1 species